AACGAACGCUGGCGGCAGGCUUAACACAUGCAAGUCGAACGCUCCGCAAGGAGAGUGGCAGACGGGUGAGUAACGCGUGGGAACGUGCCUUUUGGUUCGGAACAACUUCGGGAAACUGGAGCUAAUACCGAAUGUGCCCUUCGGGGGAAAGAUUUAUCGCCAAAAGAUCGGCCCGCGUCAGAUUAGCUAGUUGGUGGGGUAAUGGCCUACCAAGGCGACGAUCUGUAGCUGGUCUGAGAGGAUGAUCAGCCACACUGGGACUGAGACACGGCCCAGACUCCUACGGGAGGCAGCAGUGGGGGAAUCUUGGACAAUGGGCGCAAGCCUGAUCCAGCCAUGCCGCGUGAAUGAUGAAGGCCUUAGGGGUUGUAAAAAUUCUUUCGUCGGGGACGAUAAUGACGGUACCCGAAGAAGAAGACUCCGGCUAACUUCGUGCCAGCAGCCGCGGUAAU
rnacentral:rRNA from 1 species